AUUUUUGUGCAGAGGUGGUAUUGCAGCUAAUGAGGUUCUAAUCAAAGCACAAUUAUUGCUGAUUGAAAGUUGCCACGACCCUUAAUGUAUCGGUGGGUGAGAUUGAUUGUAUUUAAGCGUUAAACUUUAGCUCAGAUAUCU